rnacentral:rRNA from 1 species
AACGAACGCUGGCGGCAUGCCUAACACAUGCAAGUCGAACGCUCCGCAAGGGGAGUGGCGCACGGGUGAGUAACACGUGGGAACCUGCCUAUUGGUUCGGAACAACGUUUGGAAACGAACGCUAAUACCGGAUAUCCCCCGAGGGGGAAAGAUUUAUCGCCAAUAGAGGGGCCCGCGUCCGAUUAGGUAGUUGGUGGGGUAAAGGCCUACCAAGCCGACGAUCGGUAGCUGGUCUGGGAGGAUGAUUAGCCACACUGGGACUGAGACACGGCCCAGACUCCUACGGGAGGCAGCAGUGGGGAAUAUUGGACAAUGGGCGGAACCCUGAUCCAGCAAUGCCGCGUGAGUGAUGAAGGCCUUAGGGUUGUAAAGCUCUUUCGCACGUGACGAUGAUGACGGUAACGUGAGAAGAAGCCCCGGCUAACUUCGUGCCAGCAGCCGCCGUAA